GUCCGGAGCCUGUGCUCCGCAACGGGAGAGGCCACAACAAGUGAGAGUCCCGCGUACCACAAAAAAAAAAAAAAAAAAAAAUUCUAGAACUGCUUUGAUACUCCUCCCUUCAAGACAUAGAGCCUAAUUCCCUUCUCCUUCAGUGUGGGCUGGAUCUUGUUUCUAAGGAGUAGAAUAAAACAGAAGAGACAGUAUGCAACCUCGGAGAGUAGGUCAUCAAAAGACACUGCUGCUAUCAACUUGGUUUCUCUCUGUUGGAUGAUUCCCUCUGGAGGAAACCAGCUGCCAUGUCCGGAGCAACCUUUUGAGAGGCCCAUGUGGGGAAGAGCAGCCAGCAAGGAACUGAGGCCUCAGCCCAGUCAAGCCUUCGGAUGACUAUGGCCCUGGCCAAUAUCUUGACUACAACCUCUUGAGAGACCCUGAAUCAGAACCACCUAGCGAAACCUUGAUUUCCUGACCCUCAGAAACUACAUAAGCUGGUGUGAAAUGAAGUUCUUGGAGCUGUAGCAUCCUGUGACUACAAGGGGACAAGCCAAUGGAUAAGGAGCUAACACCCAAAGAUGCCAGAAGGAUGGGCUUGAAGGAAACUGCCCUUACAGACCGUUAUGAGCCAGAGCUAGCCAGAGACUAUCUACCUCCCAUCUGCCUGAGGUAUGGGAUAAUUAACACAUCUUGAAAUAUAUACCAGUGGUUCUCAAAGCAUCCGGAUCACCUGGGAACUUGUUGGAAAUGCAAAUUCUCAGGCCCUACCCCAACUUCCUGAAUGUGUGUCUCAGAACUGGGUGAUGGUGAGACAUGCUCGGGUUUUAAUGGCCCUGUUUUCACGGUAGGUUUCUGAGGAAACAUUUCCUAAGGGCUCAGACAGUAUGUGUAGAGUGGGUGAAGGGUUCUACAGUAUUCCACAAAGGUUGCUUCCUUGACUGAGUCCCCAUUACUGGCUUGAUUUCUUAUCAUUUACCUUUUUAUCCCCUAAGUGAGCUUAUCUCCUGAGGGUACACUUGCUGUCUUUCUGUAUUUAAAUAAAUAUACAAAUGAUUGCGUGGAACCCUGAAGCUGCCUUCUCUUCAGGUGUGUCUCCUCUUUGAUAGACUCUUCACUUUCACUUUACUAGAAAUCUCUCACUUGCUAAUUUCAUCCUAACACCCUUUUAUUUCAACAUCAGUUAAACCCUUCAACUUCCAGGUUACUUUUAAACCCCCUCCUUAUCUCAACAGUGAAGAAAUAUGGCCCUAUCAUAGAUUUUCAGAGUAUCAUUGAGACAGGCUGGCACCUGGGACCUGGGACCCUUUGCUGCAGUGGUUGCACCUGGACAAACAUCUCCUUGAGGAACAGGAUACAAAGAAACUAUAAGGGACUUAAAAUAACUGCGUACACGCGCAGCUGGGGCAAAUUAUGGACAACAAGAUACGAAAAGACCAAAAA